CUUAACCCGUCUCCUCCUUCCCUCCCUACCUUCGAACCCUAAUUUAAACCUCAUUAUUCUCUCUCUCUCACUCUUUCUCUUCGCCCAAAUGUCUGAGGUAGCGAUUGUAGCAGAGUUCACCGGCAAUUUCUUUGCACUCACACAUUGAUCUCUCUCUCUCUCUCUCUUUCUCUCUCUGUUUAUCUCUCUGUUUCUGUCUCCCUAUUAUGUAAUCACUAUUUGGUGUUUUGUGUUUUUGAGUAUUGCGUUGGGCGAGAAGGAGGAAUUUGAUGCGAGAGAAGAGAUAAGGUAGUAUAUCAAAGAUGGCGGAGGUUUCCGGUGAGAGGAGUGUGAUGGCGACGGAAGUGAGCUCCAGCGAGAAUGGGAGCAAUGUGCGGCCUGCCACGGCGGAGGCUACGACGCUGCAACUGACGGUGUCGGCGUCCUUCAAGGAAGGGAAGACGGCCAUGAGGAGAGCGUUGGUGAGCUCGAAUCUCGAAGUUCAUAAAUCUGUUGCACGGCUCAGAUCCAGUGAAAGUGAAGCUCAAUCGACUCGAGAACGAAGUCAGAGACAAGGAUUGGGAAUCCAGUGUGAUUCGGUUUGAAUACGGCGAGUUUAGGUGUUCUCUGGUUUGUGUUUGAUUGAUGUGGUGGCAUUUUAUUUUUUGUUGACUUGUGCAGACAAGGACCAGGAAUCGUCUGAGACUCAAGCGGAGAUCAAGGCGUUGAGGUUUUCUGAGCGCUUGCGAGAAAAGGCUGUUGAAGAGGUGGAGUUUGCUUACAUAUUGGACAGUUUUGGAUUUAAUGUUAAGGUGGCAUUGAUUCCAUACAUCACGGCGGACAAUCCAAACCUAGUAACCAUUGCAGAAGUUUUUAAAAUACUUGAUUCUUGUGGUUCAGAUGUAAUUGAGCUAGGAGUUCCUUAUUUUGAUCCACUUGCUGAUGGGCCAGUUAUACAGGCUGCCGCUACUCGUUCGCAAUAGUGAGGAACCAAUUUUGAUAAAAUAAUCACAAUGUUGAAGCAAGAAGAAUUGCUCUCACUCUCACUAUGUUUGGAAAACGGGUUAAACUAAUGCAGAAUGAUCUAGUAAUCAAUGAAAUCUCAGAAGAUGAUGGUAAUGAUUUCAGUGAUCAGAUUCGGUAUGCUGAGGCUGAAGGUUGUGAAACAUAAUGUUAUAUGAGCUAUUCAGAGGAAAGCAAAAAUGAAGAAAUUAGCUCUGGCGGUACAUGGUAGCAUUUCAAUCAAUACAUACCACUAGUGCCAUGCUUUCCAAGCUCCUGAGUUGUUUGAGUCUUUGAAGAUUCAAAAUACCACAAGGAAAAGUCAUGACUAUCAAUUCUCAAUGAGAGUGAAAAUGAUAUUCUAUCAUCUAGUGAUGAUGUAAAUAGGCAAUUUCCUUUUGCAUGAAACAGUCAUAUUGAAUAAACUAUUAUGUUGCUUUAUAUUUUUCAUGUAAACAUACUUUUCAAUUAUGUAUGCAGUUCAAUUAAUAUGUAGACGGUUGUACAUGAAUAUUUUUUUAUAUUAUUUGACAAAUAUUUGUUACAA